rnacentral:sRNA from 1 species
UAAUGAAGAAACAAUGAUGAGAUACUUGCAGACGGGCGGUCUGAAAUU